rnacentral:rRNA from 1 species
UACGUAGGGUGCGAGCGUUAAUCGGAAUUACUGGGCGUAAAGCGUGCGCAGGCGGUUAUGUAAGACAGAUGUGAAAUCCCCGGGCUCAACCUGGGAACUGCAUUUGUGACUGCAUAGCUAGAGUACGGUAGAGGGGGAUGGAAUUCCGCGUGUAGCAGUGAAAUGCGUAGAUAUGCGGAGGAACACCGAUGGCGAAGGCAAUCCCCUGGACCUGUACUGACGCUCAUGCACGAAAGCGUGGGGAGCAAAACGG